rnacentral:rRNA from 1 species
UACGGGGGGGGCAAGCGUUGUUCGGAAUUACUGGGCGUAAAGGGCUCGUAGGCGGCCAACUAAGUCAGACGUGAAAUCCCUCGGCUUAACCGGGGAACUGCAUCUGAUACUGGAUGGCUUGAGAUUGGGAGAGGGAUGCGGAAUUCCAGGUGUAGCGGUGAAAUGCGUAGAUAUCUGGAGGAACGCCGGUGGCGAAGGCGGCAUCCUGGACCAACACUGACGCUGAGGAGCGAAAGCCAGGGGAGCAAACGGG